CAUACCUAUUACCCUACUUAUAAUAUUCAAUAAUUUUGAUAUUAUGUUUAAAUAAAUACAAAUUUCACCAGCAAAGUCAUUAGUGCACAGGAUAGAUCAAGUAAUUAAUUAAUAAAGAUAAAAAUAAUAAAAUCAGAGCGUUAUAAUUUUAAAUUCUAUUCAUUAGGUGAACUAUUCUCGUUCUGCGCAUGCGCAAUCUUCGCUAAAUCAUAUGAUUGACAAGUGGAAGGUGCAUACAACGUGUACUCCGUACCUUUAAACAACAAUAGACAUUUCUUUUGAUAAAUUAACAAUUAUUUUAAUACUUUUAUGCAUUUGAAAUGCGAUUGAUAUAUUAGUGGACAAUUAUAGUUACAGUUGCCUUUGAUAUGUAAGUGAUGUGUCAACGCAUUUGUGCAGUAUACAAGUGCCAAGGAUUCUUUACUAAUCUUAGAUAAGAGGAGGGAUUUAAUAAUUUGACUGGGAGUGUCUACACA